UACAGAGGGUGCAAGCGUUAAUCGGAAUUACUGGGCGUAAAGCGCGCGUAGGUGGUUUGUUAAGUUGGAUGUGAAAUCCCCGGGCUCAACCUGGGAACUGCAUUCAAAACUGACAAGCUGGAGUAUGGUAGAGGGUGGUGGAAUUUCCUGUGUAGCGGUGAAAUGCGUAGAUAUAGGAAGGAACACCAGUGGCGAAAGCGGCUUCCUGGUCCAGCACCGACGUUCAGGCACGAAAGCGUGGGGAGCAAACAGG
rnacentral:rRNA from 1 species